rnacentral:tmRNA from 1 species
GGGGCCGACUGGUUUUGACAGCGGGACUUAUGGUACAGUAAGCAUGUCGAGCGCUGGAAUACAGCUCGUAAAUCUCAUAUUUCAUCUUUUUUAAACGGCGAGAAUAACUACGCCCUAGCUGCAUAAUCUGAAUUAUAGUAGGAUAUGCCUCGGCCCACAAGGUGGGCAAGCAGGAAGUCACUCAGCGACCUUGGUUUGCGGUAACUGAUAUAGUGGCUUCGUAAAAGUAAACCUAGCCCGUGCAGGGCUUUGAUGCACAGGCGAAAACAAAUUGAAGCUAAGCUGCAACUUGGUUGUCCACUACCGGGGCGCGGUCCAAAAUCCUAAAGCGGACUAAACAUGUAGAAAGCCGUGCUGUAGCGCGUUUGGACGAGGGUUCGAAUCCCUCCGGCUCCACGA